rnacentral:rRNA from 1 species
UUCUUUAUUGUUAUUUAAUAUAAAGUAUAACCUGCUCAAUGAUUAAAAUUAAAUAGCCGCAGUAUUUACUGUGCUAAGGUAGCAUAAUAAUUUGUCUUUUUAUUGAAGUCUAGAAUGAAUGGUUGAACGAGAAAUUAACUAUUUUAAUUAAAUUUUUAUAAAUUUUAUUUUUUAGUUAAAAAGCUAAAAUUAAUUUAUGUGACGAUAAGACCCUAUAAAAUUUUAUUUACAAAUUUAAUUUUGGCAUAUAUGUUUUAUAGUUAAUAUUAUAUUUGUAAAUUUGGUUGGGGCGAUUAUUUUAUUUAUUAAACUAUAAUUUAUUUAAGUUCAUUAAUUUAUGAUUAAUUGAUCCUAAAAUUUAGAUUAUAAGAUUAAAUUACUUUAGGGAUAACAGCGUAAUUUUCUUGGGGAGUUCUUAUUUAUAGGAAGGAUUGCGA